GACGAACACUGGCGGCGUGCCUAAUACAUGCAAGUAGGACGCAGUUGCGAACGGGUGAGUAAAGCGUAGGUAACAACCUCUUAUAGGGGGAUAACUAUUGGAAACGAUAGAUAAUACCGCAUACUCGUAGAUGGACCUGCGUUGUAUUAGCUAGUCAGUAGGGUAAUGGACUACCUAGGCAACGAUACAUAGCCUACCGUAGAGGGUGGUUGGACACAAUGGGACUUAGAACCGGCCCAGACUCCUACGGGAGGACGCAGUAGGGAAUCUUCGGCAAUGGGGGGCAACCUGACCGGGCAACGCCGCGUGAUUGAAGAAGGUUUUCGGAUUGGAAAGCUCUGUUGUCAAGGAAGCGGUACUUAACCAGAAAGGGACGGCGAACUACGUGCCAGCAGCCGCGGUAAUAC
rnacentral:rRNA from 1 species